UCCUUUUUGUUUUUUUUUUUUUUUUUAACGUUUGUGCAAGACAAGAAGCUGAGGACGUGGAGAGUCAGUCACAGAGCUAAAGCUGGGAAAAAUUGUACUCUUUUUCUUAUUUAGUUGUUUGGAUAUAUGAAACUGAAAACAUGAACAGAGUUUGCAAUAAGCAAUGAAGAGACAAAAAAGAACUUACAUCUCAUCUUUUGUUUUUCAAAGUCAACAAAAAGAAUCAAGUUCCAAUUUUUAAGGCUUCUCUAUACACUAAUAAUAGAAUACAG
rnacentral:lncRNA from 1 species